UACGUAGGGUGCGAGCGUUAAUCGGAAUUACUGGGCGUAAAGCGUGCGAAGGCGGUUUUGUAAGUCAGGUGUGAAAUCCCCGGGCUUAACCUGGGAACUGCGUUUGAAACUACAAGGCUAGAGUGUGGCAGAGGGGGGUGGAAUUCCACGUGUAGCAGUGAAAUGCGUAGAGAUGUGGAGGAACACCGAUGGCGAAGGCAGCCCCCUGGGUUAACACUGACGCUCAGGCACGAAAGCGUGGGGAGCAAACAGG
rnacentral:rRNA from 1 species